AUCAUAUCAUUGUCGACAGAAAAUGCCAGAGGCAUGCUAUACUAUUAAUACUAGGCCUUGGCCACCGGUAUUCAUUCACGCUGAAUUUAACGUGCUAUUGGACUAAGACAAACGACAGUGUGUUGUAUAAUAAUGUAAAUUUGUAAUUCAAUAAUAGACAGAAACACAACUUAUCUUUUCACGUCUGAAGCAGACUUCUACUGGUGACGUCAUCACAAGAUAUUGGUUUUUUUUGUCAGCCUUGGGUUCAAAUUGUUAUAUCAUAGCCAUGCUAGUUCAGACAAUCUGUCUGGUUUUGGUGGUCGUGGCUACCAAUGCUAUGCCAAGCGGUAACCUGGUAGAAGAUAUGGGAACAUCUGGUGUACUGGAUCAUUUGACAAGGACAGGAACGGUAGAUAAUAGUACAGACAUUGUCCAGCGUGGUGAAGUCGUGGGGGACGGAAUAACGUUUUCCGAGGAUGCGAUCUCGGACCUAGUCGCUAUGCUUGUUGGAUAUCUACAACGAUUAAAAUGAUUCGAGCUGAGAAAAAACCGGAAAGGAGCGUAAUUUAAUUAAUAAGUUAUACAGCAACAAGAACUGAUUCUGAUACUACUAUUAGACUGUUUCACUUACCAUAUUUGUAUAUAGGAUUAUUCAUCCUAUAAAUCAAUUUUACCAAAUCCGUGAAUCAUGGAUAAAAACAAUUUAAGUAAUUCCUGUUGAGAGAUCGAAAGAACCAUAACGCGUUAAUUUAUUUAACUUAAAAUAAACGCAAUAACCACAUUUUAUGAUGAUUGAUAAUAAACUUUACAAUUUUUUA